GAUGAACGCUAGCGGGAGGCCUAACACAUGCAAGCCGAGCGGGAUUUGUUGGUUAGCUUGCUAACUAACAAUGAGAGCGGCGUACGGGUGCGUAGCACGUGUGCAACCUGCCUUUAUCUGGGGGAUAGCCUUUCGAAAGGAAGAUUAAUACCCCAUAACAUAUUGAUUGGCAUCAGUUAAUAUUGAAAGCUCCGGCGGAUAGAGAUGGGCACGCGUAAGAUUAGCUAGUUGGUGAGGUAACGGCUCACCAAGGCUGCGAUCUUUAGGGGGCCUGAGAGGGGGAUCCCCCACACUGGUACUGAGCCCCGGACCAGACUCCUACGGCAGGCAGCAGUGAGGAAUAUUGGACAAUGGGUGAGAGCCUGAUCCAGCCAUCCCGCGUGAAGGACUAAGGACCUAUGGUUUGUAAACUUCUUUUAUACAGGGAUAAACCUCCUCUCGUGAGGGUAGCUGAAGGUACUGUAUGAAUAAGCACCGGCUAACUCCGUG
rnacentral:rRNA from 1 species